CAGAAAUUAAAUUUAAUUUCAAAUGAAAGGUAAAAUAACAUAAUUAUCAAGCUCAAUUCAUUUUUUUUUAAAUUAAUAUUUCACUGGCAUAAACGUGGAAAUAUUUAGAGAAUGUUUAAGGCUAACCUUUUAGUAAUAGUUGAUUGUCUUUAGCUGAUAUUAAAGAGCGUUUAAAUUGGCUGAAACACAACACGAAUCCAUGGGACCAAGUUACUGAACAUUGGGAGAGGACAUCUCAAAUACGUUAUAAAAAACUUAUUUCCAAAAACGGUACAAUAGAUGAUUACAUACAUCAGUACUCGGUUUUACAAAACUCGUCAGGACAUGCCCUCAUCAGUAUAGAUUUUGCUGAGCUAUAUAAUAAGAAAGAGGUUGACGCAUAUAAAGCAUGGGAGUCAUUUUUUAGUCGGCUUUAUCCAAAAAUAAACAAGAAUAAUUUAAGCAAAGCAAAUUUUUAACGUCACUGUUAGACGAAGAAAUGUCCGAUUAUUCCAGAAUACUGGUCCAAAUUAUGUUAUUGUCAUACAUAUUACCACCUCAUGAUACAUUUACACAAAAGAAAGGGAAUCAUAAAUUUAUCUAUAAACCCACAAUAUUGGAAUUUUAAUCAAGCGUGAUUGUACAUUCAAAAAAUGCAGAUGAAGUGCUGAAUAUUCACGAGAAGAAAAUAGAUGAUGCAGUUUCGAAAUCAAUCACCGUACAACUGUACAUUGUGGCUAUUGGCCGAACACUAAAAGAAAUAGUUAACUAUGGUAUAGUUUGUUACGCCGCGACUACCUCACAUCAUUCUUGUACUGGAAUUAUGCUGACGGUGAUGUCCGUCCGCCUAUGUCUCGAGACUCAGAGCAGCUAUUUCAAUUUUUUUUCUCAGGCGCAGUAACACCUUCACGAUGCACUACUUUUAUAUUUGAUAAUUCAUUCAUAUUUUUUUUUAGUCAGUAGAAAGGAAGCCUUGAUCGAAGU